GACAAAACAUCACCGAACUCGGCUCAGAAUGGUUUUUUCGUAAACAAUGGCUUAUCGUCUGCAUCCGUCUCUAACAUCCUGGAACGUCUUUUCAUAUGUAUAUCUGUAUGUCAUAUGUAUUUGAUUUUAAAAACUACGUGACUUUAGAUAAAUACUUGAAAACUUAACACAUUGUACAUUACAAUAGUUGUACUUAGCGGUAUAAAAAACGAUUUUCAGUCGAAUGCAUUAGUAUUAU